AUAAUUUUUGUACAAAGAUAUUAAAUUAUACACAAACAAAAAUGGCCGAUGAAGAUUUAUCGUUGAAUGAAGAUCAACUCUUGGAGAAUUUGGAUGAGGCUAAUGGUGAAAAUGAAACAGAACUAAUAAAUGAGGAGGAUAACAAUAUGCAGAUUGAUCCCGAAUUGGAAGCUAUAAAAGCUCGCGUCAAAGAAAUGGAAGAAGAAGCUGAAAAAAUUAAACAAAUGCAGUCGGAAGUGGAUAAACAAAUGGCCGGUUCGACAACGGGCUUAGCUACAGUUCCCUUGUCGUUGGAGGAGAAACAAGAAAUCGAUACCCGUUCAGUGUAUGUGGGUAAUGUUGAUUAUGGUGCAUCGGCUGAAGAAUUGGAGGCUCACUUCCAUGGCUGUGGCACAAUCAAUCGUGUGACUAUAUUGUGCAAUAAGGCUGAUGGUCAUCCUAAGGGAUUUGCCUAUAUUGAAUUUGGUUCCAAAGAAUUUGUUGAGACUGCAUUAGCCAUGAAUGAGACCCUAUUUCGUGGUCGUCAAAUUAAGGUUAUGUCUAAACGUACAAAUCGUCCUGGCCUCUCUACAACCAAUCGUUUUCCCCGUGGCAGUUUUCGUGGUCGUGGUGGUGCUCGUGUCUCUCGAGCAUGUUGUCAUACCACCACAUUCCGUGGCACCCGUCGUCCAAUGUAAGUAGGUUAUCGUGGACGUGUUAAUUACUAUGCUCCUUACUGAUUAAUAUUCUUACCUACUUUUAAUGAUUUUUUUUACAAUAUAUAAUGAUUUCAAAAAACAUUAUAUGAUUGCCAUAAUUACACAAAUAAAAAAAAAAUAAAUAAAUCUUCUUGAAAAAACACAAAAAAUAAAUAUCUAUAUGUAGAAAAAGAUCCGAAAGAUAUAGAACUAAAAAAAAAUACAUAUGAGAAACAAAAAAAAUAUAUAUAUGAUGAGGUGGAAAUGAGAUGCGCAAAAAAAUAUUUAACAUAAAAAAUAUGAUGAAAAAAAUGACGUUAAAACAACAAAAAAAUGUUAAAAUCCUCUAAAAAAUGACUUAAAAAAAAGAAGAAGAAGAGAAGAAGAAGAAGAUGAGACUUAAGAGAAGGACAAUUAUUUCUAAUAGUAAAUGCAAUUUUUUACUAAAUAAAACAAUUACUAAAGUGGCUAAUAAUGUUUUUUGAAUGAUCACCAAAUAAAAUAUAUCUAUAUAUAUAUACAUAUA
rnacentral:misc_RNA from 1 species